rnacentral:lncRNA from 1 species
CCUUUUGUUGCAUCACAUGAAAAUAACAAUAUGAUAGUCAUCAAAAGUUUGUGGGGUUGGAGUUUGAAAGUGUAGUAGGGUUUUGUGUUGGUGUAUGGAAUUGCCACUAUUGUAGUGGAAUCAUUAGUCAUGAUAUUAUCUACUAUGCUUUUUGAGUCAUAUGAAUCGUUUUGUAACUCCUGUUUGACCACCAAUAACUGAUGAUGACUUUGAAAAAAUACCAUAAAGAAACAAAAAACAAUCAAUUUAAAUAACUUGAGAUUGAAUAUGAAGAAUACUGGGGAUAGUUAGUAUUCCUUCAUUUUUAUGUAAUAUUACCAGUAUACCUCUAACGGGCUAUUCGAUGCAAACCCAAAUUAAUCGAACACAAUACUGAACAUCUCGCUAAAGAAAAACAAGUUGGUAUGGCGAAUUACAGUAAAACAACAUGUAUUAAAGGCAGAAGAGGAGCUAUUUUAGAAGGAAUAGAGAGAAGAACAUAGAACUUAUUCCAACCAAAUAGCUCCAGAGUUAUGUAAAUUCUUCAUCCAUAAUGAUAAGAAGAUAGAUCAAAAUAUAAAAGAUUUUUCUUCAAAUCAAGAAUUUUGAAUAGAAAUUAUCAAUAAGAAACUACUGGUCCAUGUAAAA